rnacentral:lncRNA from 1 species
CUACAGCUAGCUGCUAAUUCUCAUUUAGCUCCCGGGGGCGAAGUUGGUAGCAAAGGCCCAUGCAUUGUUGUUGACUGGGUCGGCGACGUGGUCGAAGAGGUUCUCGACGGGUCCCUUGCCCGUGACGAUGGCCUGCACGAAGAAUCCAAACAUGGAGAACAUGGCGAGGCGGCCGUUCUUGAGCUCCUUGACCUUGAGCUCAGCGGCGGUGUCUGGGUCGUCGGCGAGACCGAGGGGGUCAAAGGCGCCACCGGGGUAGAUCUUGUCGAGCCCCUCACCGAGAGGGCCUCCACCAACACGGUAACCCUCGAUGAAGCCCAUGAGCACAACUUGGCAUGCCCAAAUGGCGAGGAUGCUCUGCGCGUGCACGAGGUUAGGGUUGCCCAGGUAGUCCAGGCCGCCCUCGGAGAAGAUCUGCGAGCCGGCCUUGAACCACACCGCCUCGCCGAACUUGACACCAUUCUUGGAGAGGAUCUCCGGGAACACGCACCCGAGCGCGCCAAGCAUCGCCCAACGAGAGUGGAUCACCUCGAGCUCCCUGUUCUUGGCGAACGUCUCUGGGUCAGCUGACAACCCCGCGGUGUCCCAGCCGUAGUCACCGGGGAACUCGCCGGUCAGGUACGACGGCGUCUGCUCGGAGAACGGGCCCAGGUACUUGGGACGGUCAGGGCCGUACCUAUAUAUACACGCACGGUCAUUUCAUCACCAUUAAUUUCAUUCAGGCGAAGCCAAUUGCGCGGUACUUGAUGCAUGUAGUACAUAGAAAUGUAGCUUUGGACGAAGAAAAAGAUAUACUUACCAGAUGCUCUGGGGUGCGCUCUUGACAGUCCGGCGCAUGGUGAUGCGGCCGCCGAAGUCGCCGACGCUGCGGACGAGGUCAUCGCGGCGUGGGGCGGUGCCGAGGAAGCUGGUGGUCUGGUGCAGCGCCGACGCGGCCAUUUCGAUCCCAAUUCAAGUGGUAAGGUCAGUGAGAGAUGAGCUGGUGGCUG